CCUACGGGAGGCAGCAGUGGGGAAUUUUCCGCAAUGGGCGAAAGCCUGACGGAGCAAUACCGCGUGAGGGAAGAAUGCCUACGGGUUGUAAACCUCUUUUAUCAGGGAGGAACAAAAUGACGUGUACCUGAUGAAUAAGCAUCGGCUAACUCUGUGCCAGCAGCCGCGGUAAGACAGAGGAUGCAAGUGUUAUCCGGAAUUACUGGGCGUAAAGCGUCUGUAGGUUGUUGAACAAGUCAACUGUUAAAUCUUGAAGCUCAACUCCAAAAUCGCAGUCGAAACUGUUUGACUAGAGUAUAGUAGAGGUAAAGGGAAUUUCCAGUGGAGCGGUGAAAUGCGUAGAUAUUGGAAAGAACACCGAUGGCGAAAGCACUUUACUGGGCUAUUACUGACACUCAGAGACGACAGCUAGGGUAGCAAAUGGGAUUAGAUACCCCAGUAGUCCUAGCCGUAAACUAUGGAUACUAGAUGUUGAACAGAUCGACCUGUGCAGUAUUAAAGCUAACGCGUUAAGUNUCCCGCCUGGAAGUAUGCUCGCAAGAGUGAAACUUAAGGAAUUGACGGCUGAGACGNGCGAGACGACGACGAGGGAGAG
rnacentral:rRNA from 1 species